UCAGAUUCUUGCUAAAGAAGUUUCCAAAGCCAUUUCACAAGAAGAUACUACUAACGCUCUACCUGAGUCUCCCGUUGCUGCGGAAUCAUCUAAUGGAGUUUCUUCUUAUUCUGUCAAGGAAACCUCGCUGCGGAAUCAUCUAAUGGAGUUUCUUCUUAUUCUGUCAAGGAAACCUCUUCGCCUAAAGCUUCUAAUACAGUUGUGCCUAGUACGUUUAAGAAACCCAUUGGUGCUAAAAGGACGGGUAAAACUGGUGGUCUUGGUGCAAG
rnacentral:lncRNA from 1 species